CUUUUUGUUUCCACAUAUUUCUGUUCCUACUACUCUAAAACUAAACAGGUAUGAGUGCAUGCUGAUACGGACCUAUCCUGCGUACAUUUACCACACGACUGGUUCUAAGGGUGACCCUUUGGUGUGACUUCUGCAACAGUGCAGCGCAUUGACGAUUCGGGAGUGGUUGCUGUGCUCGUAGCUGGACAUCAGUGUUGGAUCCCAAGAACUGGACGCAUCGUCAUCACAUCGCACGCUAACUCUACAUCAUCUGAGAGACUUGUGCUUUCAUCUACCAGCUGAUAUAUAGAUUUACAAAUCCCUACAUCAAGAUGCCUCACAAGAUUAUUGAUCAAAAAGAUUAUUUUACUCCUAUUGCUGUCAGCAAUGAUGAAGAAAUGUAUGAAUUAGAGGUGAAGGGUAAGGAAAGAUACGAGAUGUUGAAAAAGAUCAACGAAAGUUUGGAAAUUUGCGACAUGAUACCCCAAUCUGAUAAGGACAAAUAUCUUAAGAAGCUACCCAUUAAGAAGAGAAAGUAUGAUGAUAAGUUUAGAGAUGGAAAGAAGGGUAUGCUGUAGUAAGUCCUCGACCCAGCAAAAGUCCAGGUGAGGUCAGGGGUCGGAUGCUUUUAGUGCUCCUCGUCUGAUCAGCUUGGUGAAGAAUUCCUGUCAACUUAACGCGGCUGGGGUUAAAGAGGUAUCUACAGUCUACCUGAAAAGAUUCAUUCACUUUUAUAUUUCCUUUAUGCUUACACGAUUAAGUGCUUAUCUGAAAUGUUUUACUUACUCAUUUUUCUGCAUAUGUAUUUGUUACCUUUGACUAUUAUGUAUCUUAUUUUCAAGGGAAAGGAUUUUGGGUGCGAGUCUUUUUGUCAAGACUCGAGUGGGGGACUGAUGUAACCCAAAUUCUGACUUCUGUCAUGUGUGCAUUUGCUACGUGCUUAAAAGUACAGGACAGCCUGUGCUGAAGGCCUCAGCUGAACUUUAGACUUAGAAGACUUCUAUAUCAAUAUGGAAAUAAGAAAAGUUAAAGAUAAAAGAUUUCCACGAAAUGUUUAUACUUCUAAAAACAGCAUGAUUCAGAGACGUUUAUAUUCCAUCACACGUCUGUUAUUUGGAGUCAUUCGAACCCCCCCCCCCUGUGGGUUCUUAACAAAAGAGAACCAGACGAUUAAUCUUCUGAGGUAGGACAGUUGGACUUUGAACAUACAAUCUGCUGACCUUACGAAAUAGGGAACUGAAAUUAGGCUGCAAGGGCUAGGAUGUAUUUUCGGAGAAGGAUGACGACUGUUUUGAUAUCUGUUUGAGACGUGGCUGCAGAGACGUGGCAUGGGUUUGAUACAGAUUUGCAGGGCUAUAAGAGGAGGCAAAUUCACCCCUCCUUUGGGCUCUCUCGCUCAGACUGAGUUCAGCCUAGACCCUUCUAGCUGGACUUAGUCUUUUCUCACCUUCUUUAUCUUUGAUUCCGGGCUCACUUGAAUACUUUGAACUUCUCUCAGUUUUGGAGGCACCCGCUGGAGAUCGUUGAAGUUUUCAUUUCAUUAAGUUUUGAUGCAACGCAAGACAAAAUAAAGAGAGGUCCUGCACCUCCUCCAGUAUUCCAGUAUCCUCUUCGGAGAGAAAGAGAGAGCGGCACAGGCAAUUGUGACCCAGCUCGAGACAGGGAUUGUGGUAUGAGUGCAUGCUGAUACGGAACCUAUCCUGCGUACAUUUACCACACGACUGGUUCUAAGGGUGACCCUUUGGUGUGACUUCUGCAACAGUGCAGCUCAUCGACGAUUCGGGAGUGGUUGCUGUGCUCGUAGCUGGACAUCUGUGUUUGAUCCCAAGAACUGGACGCAUCGUCAUCACAUCGCACGCUAACUCUACAUCAUCUGAGAGACUUGUGCUUUCAUCUACCAGCUGAUAUAUAGAUUUACAAAUCCCUACAUCAAGAUGCCUCACAAGAUUAUUGAUCAAAAAGAUUCUUUUACUCCUAUUGCUGUCAGCAAUGAUGAAGAAAUGUAUGAAUUAGAGGUGAAGGGUAAGGAAAGAUACGAGAUGUUGAAAAAGAUCAACGAAAGUUUGGAAAUUUGCGACAUGAUACCCCAAUCUGAUAAGGACAAAUAUCUUAAGAAGCUACCCAUUAAGAAGAGAAAGUAUGAUGAUAAGUUUAGAGAUGGAAAGAAGGGUAUGCUGUAGUAAGUCCUCGACCCAGCAAAAGUCCAGGUGAGGUCAGGGGUCGGAUGCUUUUAGUGCUCCUCGUCUGAUCAGCUUGGUGAAGAAUUCCUGUCAACUUAACGCGGCUGGGGUUAAAGAGGUAUCUACAGUCUACCUGAAAAGAUUCAUUCACUUUUAUAUUUCCUUUAUGCUUACACGAUUAAGUGCUUAUCUGAAAUGUUUUACUUACUCAUUUUUCUGCAUAUGUAUUUGUUACCUUUGACUAUUAUUUAUCUUAUUUUCAAGGGAAAGGAUUUUGGGUGCGAGUCUUUUUGUCAAGACUCGAGUGGGGGACUGAUGUAACCCAAAUUUUGACUUCUGUCAUGUGUGCAUUUGCUACGUGCUUAAAAGUACAGGACAGCCUGUGCUGAAGGCCUCAGCUGAACUUUAGACUUAGAAGACUUCUAUAUCAAUAUGGAAAUAAGAAAAGUUAAAGAUAAAAGAUUUCCACGAAAUGUUUAUACUUCUAAAAACAGCAUGAUUCAGAGACGUUUAUAUUCCAUCACACGUCUGUUAUUUGGAGUCAUUCGAACCCCCCCCCCUGUGGGUUCUUAACAAAAGAGAACCAGACGAUUAAUCUUCUGAGGUAGGACAGUUGGACUUUGAACAUACAAUCUGCUGACCUUACGAAAUAGGGAACUGAAAUUAGGCUGCAAGGGCUAGGAUGUAUUUUCGGAGAAAGAUGACGAAGGUUUUGAUAUCUGUCUGAGACGUGGCUGCAGAGACGUGGCAUGAGUUUGAUACAGAUUGGCAGGGCUAUAAGAGGAGGCAAAUUCACCCCUCCUCUCGCUCUCUCUCUCUCUCUCGCUCAGACUGAGUUCAGCCUAGACCCUUCUAGCUGGACUUAGUCUUUUCUCACCUUCUUUAUCUUUGAUUCCGGGCUCACUUGAAUACUUUGAACUUCUCUCAGGUUUUAUUCAUCUCAGAUAUGAUUAUUAUUAUAUUACUUGUUAUUAUAUGAAUACUAUUAUAACUUUUGACUUUUGAUAUACAGGGUAUUGUUGUAUACUUUGUAUUAUUAUUAUUUUUAACAUCUUGAUUACUUUUGAAUAUUAUAAUGCAUUUUGUAUUACUUUUAAUUGGGCAACAUCCAUCAUACAUGGAUUGCUUUUAAAACUAUAUUAAUUUUGGGAUUUGUAUUUUCUAUAUUUGAAGCUGAUUUUAAUACUUACUAAUCUGUUUGCAAGUUAUGAGUUGUAUUCUCAUUUCCUAUAUUCUUUGAAUAAAUUUGCAUACUAAAAUACCA